UAGGGAAUCUUCCGCAAUGGACGCAAGUCUGACGGAGCAACGCCGCGUGAGUGAAGAAGGUUUUCGGAUCGUAAAACUCUGUUGUUAGAGAAGAACAAGUGCUAGAGUAACUGUUAGCGCCUUGACGGUAUCUAACCAGAAAGCCACGGCUAACUACGUGCCAGCAGCCGCGGUAAUACGUAGGUGGCAAGCGUUGUCCGGAUUUAUUGGGCGUAAAGCGAGCGCAGGCGGUUCCUUAAGUCUGAUGUGAAAGCCCCCGGCUCAACCGGGGAGGGUCAUUGGAAACUGGGGAACUUGAGUGCAGAAGAGGAGAGUGGAAUUCCAUGUGUAGCGGUGAAAUGCGUAGAUAUAUGGAGGAACACCAGUGGCGAAGGCGACUCUCUGGUCUGUAACUAACGCUGAGGCUCGAAAGCGUGGGUAGCAAACAGGAUUAGAUACCCUGGUAGUCCACGCCGUAAACGAUGAGUGCUAAGUGUUGGAGGGUUUCCGCCCUUCAGUGCUGCAGUUAACGCAUUAAGCACUCCGCCUGGGGAGUACGACCGCAAGGUUG
rnacentral:rRNA from 1 species